UACGUAGGGUGCGAGCGUUGUCCGGAAUUACUGGGCGUAAAGCGUGCGCAGGCGGUUCGUUGUGUCGGUGGUGAAAGCCCCGGGCUUAACCUGGGAAUGGCCGUCGAAACUGGCGAACUGGAGUGUGGCAGAGGGGGGUGGAAUUCCGCGUGUAGCAGUGAAAUGCGUAGAGAUGCGGAGGAACACCGAUGGCGAAGGCAGCCCCCUGGGCUGACACUGACGCUCAGGCACGAAAGCGUGGGGAGCAAACAGG
rnacentral:rRNA from 1 species